GGAGAUAAUACAACAUGCUCCAUUGCAAAUUACUAAAGAAGGAGAAUUCUGUGAACAGUUUUUCUGAAGAAAGUGUUUGCUUACAUCCCUGAUCCGCAAGUUGCUGGAGGCUACAGGAGUGACUGCUGGGAAAGCACACCAGGAAAACAUUGCUGUUUUUUCUUGUUUUGUACUUCUCCAAAAUUAUCUACUUUUGGCCUCUGUGCCCAUGUUUUUCCUCCCCUCAGGUAUGGGGGGCAGCCCAUCCCUAACAGAUACUAAAACACAGAAACAAACAAAACAAAAAAUGAAAAGAAAAAAAAAAAAGAAAGAAGGGAGGCAAAGAGAAUACACUGGAUAGGGGAAAAAAAGAAGUAAUUGCAGGUGAGAAAAAUGAUUAAAAAAAGACAUAGAGGAGAGUCAGUGGAUAAAAAGAGGGAACAAGAAGGGGACAGGGAACCCUAACUGCUUCCACUGCUCCCUUGAGAUGCCCAAGUACCUGCUGGCUACUGACUCACUGUACUGUGCAAGGAGGCAUGGAAGAGCCAGGCAUUUGUAAAAGGACUUACAGUCCCUUUACCUAGUCUCCCAGUGACACCAGCACCAAAUUCAAGCAGUUGUUGUAUCUUCCUUCAUCUGUCUCCUCGUGUCACCAUGUCUACAGUACAAUCUGCAGCAACAGACCACAGUCCAUCAGAAGGAGUUACAUUCAUAAGAGGCACCAAGAGGUAAACAGUAUGUGUCUCAUCCCUUGACAGAAAUCUUCAGAUUUGCUUAACUUCAUGCAUCUGAGAAUUUCCAGUUUAUCUACAAAAUAUUUGAGAAUGACUCCAGGCUGUCCCUGUGCACUGUCAAUGCAGAUUUUGAGACGUUCGUACACACACAGUGCCCAUAUGGGCUGUGCAUGUGCUGAAAUCCUUGAUUUACCGCAUGAAGUGAUUGUCCGUGGUGUGAGGAGAAGAGUCGCGGUACUUGCCCAAUGGAUGCUGUUAAAUACAAGGGCAAACUGGUCUGCCUGGGAAAUCCUGAGCAAAAUAUAGAGCUUUGGGGACUUCUGAUUUGCACGGAGUUAGCAAGUGAAGUAGCCCAUUUCUCACAACACAACUUUUUAUUAUGAUUAAGCACAAAGUAUUAACACAAUUUAUGUAUUUAUUGUGAACAUAAGCACGUAUUAUGUCUUUGUUUCUGGGUUACUGAUGAAAAUUACUGUUCCUGAAUAGUGUGGUUGAAAGAUGAAUGGUGUUCACAGCGUGUCUGUUGAGUAUUUAAGAUAAUCAUGGUAAUGGUUUUAGUCUAACACUAGCACAAAUUAAAGCAUUACCAUGAUAAAUGAAUAGUUGCUGAAUAAAGUGUGACUUCCUCCCAGUAAGUCUGCUGUUUGUUCAUAGUAGAAAAGCUCUAAGUAAAGAAAAUAUAUUAAGUCUGAGAGAAGACGGAUGAAAGCAUUAUCUUAGAUCUCAAACCAGGACUUUCAUACCUAGGAUGGCCUAAAAACUGAACAAAACAAAGCAAAUGAAAACCUAAAGCAACAAAAGAAAGCUAUUUGAUACCAAUCAUCCUGAACAGCAACAUCUGAAAUUAUUACCGUAUGUGUCAUUUUACUCGGUGUUGGUUUGUUAUCUCUGUGAGCACUAGCAUGUCUAAAGACUUUAUCUUCUGUGAAAAUUUGUGGCCUGCACUACACAGUGUGUUAGUUACCAAGACAGCAAGUCUCAGACUUAUACAUUUGUCGUCUUAUUUGUGGCUGUGAUUUCCAAUGUGUUGUGUCCAACUACUGCAUGGUCAUUAAAAACAAAGAAGG
ensembl:lncRNA